rnacentral:rRNA from 1 species
UAAGCGCCUUUCCAUGCAGUCGGACGGCAGCAUGAAAGAGCUUGCUCUUUUGAUGGCGAGUGGCGAACGGGUGAGUAAUGCAUCGGAACGUACCGAGUAGUGGGGGAUAACUGUCCGAAAGGAUGGCUAAUACCGCAUAUUCUCUGAGGAGGAAAGCAGGGGACCUUAGGGCCUUGCGCUAUUUGAGCGGCCGAUGUCUGAUUAGCUGGUUGGUGGGGUAAGAGCCCACCAAGGCGACGAUCAGUAGCGGGUCUGAGAGGAUGAUCCGCCACACUGGGACUGAGACACGGCCCAGACUCCUACGGGAGGCAGCAGUGGGGAAUUUUGGACAAUGGGCGCAAGCCUGAUCCAGCCAUGCCGCGUGUAUGAAGAAGGCCUUCGGGUUGUAAAGUACUUUUGUCAGGGAAGAAAAGCCUGGGGAUAACACCCCUGGGUCAUGACGGUACCUGAAGAAUAAGCACCGGCUAACUACGUGCCAGCAGCCGCGGUAAUACGUAGGGUGCGAGCGUUAAUCGGAAUUACUGGGCGUAAAGCGAGCGCAGACGGUUAUUUAAGCAAGAUGUGAAAGCCCCGGGCUCAACCUGGGAACUGCGUUUUGAACUGGGUAACUAGAGUGUGUCAGAGGGGGGUAGAAUUCCACGUGUAGCAGUGAAAUGCGUAGAGAUGUGGAGGAAUACCGAUGGCGAAGGCAGCCCCCUGGGAUAACACUGACGUUCAUGCUCGAAAGCGUGGGUAGCAAACAGGAUUAGAUACCCUGGUAGUCCACGCCCUAAACGAUGUCAAUUAGCUGUUGGGGUACAUGAUGCCUUAGUAGCGUAGCUAACGCGUGAAAUUGACCGCCUGGGGAGUACGGUCGCAAGAUUAAAACUCAAAGGAAUUGACGGGGGACCCGCACAAGCGGUGGAUGAUGUGGAUUAAUUCGAUGCACCGCGAAAAACCUUACCUGGUCUUGACAUGUACGGAAUCUCUUAAAUAGGAGAGUGCCUUCGGGACCUAACACAGGUGCUGCAUGGCUGUCUCACUCGUGUCUGAAAUGUUGGGUAGUCCCCAACAGC